CACUGGACAUGUUCACCAGGAUCUUCUCCACAAAGUCGUAGUUCAGGCUCCCGUAAAUGGGCUUACGUUCGCCGCUGGGAUUUCGGAGCACACUGUCGCCCAGGUGCAUCUUGUAGCUGUUAGUCACAUUGCGCCACGGCAGGACAUCAACCGAACCAUCUUCCCGAGGAACUUACAAAGUUAUCGCCAAAGAUCAUGACCACGCAGGUGAACAGAUUGUCGGACACCGCAUUGACAAGAUCCGUGUGUCGGAAGUGACAGAGCUCAGUCUUCUCCCGCUCCACGUUCGUGGCCUUGGCAAUGUAUGUCAGCCGCUCCUUAGGAUUCAGUUCGGCCGCAUAGUUCUUGAGCACGGUGUGGUAGGGAAUCCAGGCCAGGACCGAAUCACCUCCGUUGGCGCACACCUCCGCCUGGACUCCCCUUCCAGUCAGUUCUCCGUUGCGCAGCUUAAAAUAGUGAUGGUUAUCCCGCUUGAUUGUGGUGGAGCCGUGAUCUGCGCACAGGGUGUCCACGAGGCUUGCCUGGGAAACGGAGAGAUAAAAGUUAGACUAAAACAAACACCUUGUUCGUAAAUCACCACCGUCUUCGGCUUAUCUCCGCCGGCAUUAUCUUCUUCAGCUGCGAUGGACACUUUGUCACUUUAUCGUCAAGCUAAUUCAAUUUGGAAUAUCAGCCACUCGAAUAAUUUACGGCUGGCAUUGGAUUUGUCACUUAAGGAUGUCGAUGGGGCAAACUAGUUUGGCGACGCAGCAUUUGCCAUUAAAGGUAGGGAGUUUUUCAAAUUGAGGCCAUUUUUAACAAAUAUGGAAUCGUGAAAUCUGCUUUUAGUCGCCAAAUAAUUGCACUAACCGCAAUACUUUUGUCCCAAAAGCAGUUGAAUCCAUAAAAAAUUGCAUAUGUGCUACUUCUUUACAUUAAAUUGAUCGUUUCUAAAAUUCUACUUUUUGUAUUAUGGUUUACCACCCAAGAAAAUCCAGAAAACUCUAGCUCAUAAAUGGGUAUUUUCAUAUGCCCAUGAUUUUACCUUCUCGUUUUGGGUCAACGUGGUGGCCUUAAUGUGGCACUGUAGGUCCUCCUCGCUGGGGAUGACCACAUGUCGAUCGAUCUCCGACAGAAGGAUGGGAUCUGUCUUAAUGCAGAAAUGAGGGUGUUCAUCGAGGGCCGCAACCAGUGUCACCAGCACGGCCAGGCAUCCGAUGAUGGUGGCUUUCAUAGACAUUUCCGCAGAUCCGGUGCACAGAGUUCUUGGAUUGAAUUGCGCCACAGCCGUCGAUAGGCACACUUCGGUGGUCAAGUAGUAACUAAAUUUGCAAUUUUCUAACACCUGAGCAACGGCCUAUACGAACGCAUUCAACUUGACCGCGAAGCUGUCGCACAGCGAACACCUUAAUAUCACCAUAUUUAUCUACUGAUGAAGGAUUCGGCCGAGAUUCGCUUCGAUUUUCGGUGAGAGCCAGUCCGUGUCCGUAAUAGCGUCACCGAAAACCCAGUUAGUGAGCAACGACCGGGGUGAUGAGUGUAUUCGUUUUUCCAACUUGCAGUCCACACUUGGCGAUAAGAUAAUCGGCACCAUUUGACUCAAUCCGAAUAGACCGUAUGUGUAACACUGGUUAGUUAUGAUUUCUGUAAGCAUUAGGGUGGAUCAAUCAGUUUUCGUUGACUUUAUUUAAGGAAAUACUAUUGCAUAAUACCCCACCCAGUCAACUACCUGUACAUCCCGACAUACCCAUUGUUCCUUUUAUCAACAACAUAUUUAAGUCUAGAGCCUACUGUGGGAGUUAUUCAAAUCAAUACGACAUAAACAUUCAGACUUCUUAGGUGACAUAAAUCACACGAUCGACGCCUUACCGUCGACAGCAGACAUAAACAAUUUUCAAACUUUUAAACAAAGGGUCCAGCCUGUGAACCCAUUUGUCAUAUAAAAGCUUCGACCAAUCCAAAUUAAGUAAACAAAAGAUGCAGCCCGGCAACGUAUAGAUCAGGCCACAGUUUUAGGAAAUCGAAAUCUUUUGAGUAAAGUCCAUUUUCGCUGACCGCGUCGCUGUCAUCUAGUCAUCACCAUUGCCCGAGCCCAAGACACCGACCAUCAAGAGCAACAAGGAGAAGGCCCGCUCGCUGGACUCGGCAACCUCGCUCUCGCGACAGAAGAAAGUCACCAGGAAUCAACAUCACUGACUGGCUUAUGUAUUGUAUAUAAAUAAAUUCAGUAUAUGAUAGCAUUAAUUUCUAAAACGAAAUAUUUAAUAUUUUACAUUCAGGAAUAAAGUCUUCCAGUUAAUAGAUUUCUAA